UGAUUGUAAUCAUGUAUUGUCUUUUUGCUGACUGGAAAGGUUUUCACUGUACCAAGCUUUUCACGGAACACGCAACAGUAAACUAAACUCAAGCUCAAAAGAAGGUGCAUCGUUGACUGAGUGAAGACUUUGAAGAGUACCAAUUUGCCCAAAGUGUGAAGUCUCUUUUCCUCCUUCAAUAAUUGUAUUGAUACAAAUUUGUACUUUUUAAUGAAGAUUCGCCAGCGCAUAUCAGAUUUUAUAUAAUGUGUGAAAACAAAAACGGGACUCCAGUAACAAUAAUAAUGAAGAAUGCAUUAAAUGCAAACCUGGAUGGAGGAAUCAUGUCAACAAUUGUAAACACCGUGACACCAAUUGUAAGCACAGUGUCAACAACAAUUUUAAACAUUGUGUUAAUAAUUGUAAACACCGUGUCAACAGCAAUUGUAAAGACCAUGUCAACAAUUGUAAACACCGUGUCAACAAUUGUAAACACCGUGUCACCAAAAAUAGUGAUCAUCAUGUCAACAAUUGUAAACACUGUGUCAACAAUUGUAAACACUGUGUCAACAAUUGUAAAUGCCGUGCCACCAAUUGUAAACACCGUGUCAACAACAAUUGUAAAACACCGUGUCAACAACAAUUGUAAACACUGUGUCAACAAUUGUAAAUGCCGUGCCACCAAUUGUAAACACUGUGUCAACAACAAUUGUAAACACUGUGUCAACAAUUGUAAAUGCCGUGCCACCAAUUGUAAACACCUUGUCAACAACAAUUGUAAACACAGUGCCACCAAUUGUAAACUCCAUGUCAACAACAAUUGUAAACAUCGUGCCACCAAUUGUAAACUCCAUGUCAACAACAAUUGUAAACACCGUGCCACCAAUUGUAAAACACAUGUCAACAAUAAUGGUAAACACCGUGCCACCAAUUCUAAACAUCAUGUCAACAAUUGUAAACACCGUGUCAACAUAAUUGAAAACAUCAUGUCAACAAUUGUAAACACCGUGUCAACAAUAAUUGAAAACACCAUGUCAACAAUUUAAACACCAUUUCAACAAUAAUUGUAAACACCGUGUCAACAAUUCUAAACAUCAUGUCAACAAUAACUGUAACAUUUGUGUCAACAAUUCUAAACACCGUGUCAAUAUAAAAUUGUAAACACCGUGUUAACAAUUAAAACGUGUCACCAAUUCCAAACACCGUGUCAACAGAUUCUAAACACUGUUUAAGAAUUCUAUUCAACGUGUCAGCAAUUUAAAAACAGUUACCAAUUUAAAAGUACGAGUGAACAACAAUCCUAGACAGCGUGCUAACAAUCCUAAACAUGGAGAUACAUAGAUACAUAGAAAAUAGGUGCAGGAGUAGGUUCAUUCAACCCUUCGAGGC